rnacentral:rRNA from 1 species
GAUGAACGCUGGCGGCGUGCCUAAUACAUGCAAGUCGAGCGAACAGACGAGGAGCUUGCUCCUCUGACGUUAGCGGCGGACGGGUGAGUAACACGUGGAUAACCUACCUAUAAGACUGGGAUAACUUCGGGAAACCGGAGCUAAUACCGGAUAACAUGUUGAACCGCAUGGUUCAACAGUGAAAGACGGUCUUGCUGUCACUUAUAGAUGGAUCCGCGCCGCAUUAGCUAGUUGGUAAGGUAACGGCUUACCAAGGCAACGAUGCGUAGCCGACCUGAGAGGGUGAUCGGCCCACAUGGAACUGAGACACGGUCCCGACUCCUACGGGAGGCAGCAGUAGGGAAUCUUCCGCAAUGGGCGGAAUCCUGACGGAGCAACGCCGCGUGAGUGAAGAAGGUCUUCGGAUCGUAAAACUCUGUUAUUAGGGAAGAACAAAUGUGUAAGUAACUAUGCACGUCUUGACGGUACCUAAUCAGAAAGCCACGGCUAACUACGUG